rnacentral:rRNA from 1 species
GUAGGUGGCAAGCGUUGUCCGGGAAUUAUUGGGCGUAAAGCGCGCGCAGGCGGCCUUUAAGUCUGAUGUGAAAGCCCACGGGCUCAACCGUGGAGGGUCAUUGGAAACUGGGGGACUUGAGUACAGAAGAGGAAAGCGGAAUUCCAAGUGUAGCGGUGAAAUGCGUAGAGAUUUGGAGGAACACCAGUGGCGAAGGCGGCUUUCUGGUCUGUAACUGACGCUGAGGCGCGAAAGCGUGGGGAGCAAACAGGAUUAGAUACCCUGGUAGUCCACGCCGUAAACGAUGAGUGCUAAGUGUUAGGGGGUUUCCGCCCCUUAGUGCUGCAGCUAACGCAUUAAGCACUCCGCCUGGGGAGUACGGCCGCAAAGGCUG